rnacentral:rRNA from 1 species
AGGGUAGACCUCCCACCCUUGUGUAUUAUUACUUUGUUGCUUUGGCGAGCUGCCUUCGGGCCUUGUAUGCUCGCCAGAGAAUACCAAAACUCUUUUUAUUAAUGUCGUCUGAGUACUAUAUAAUAGUUAAAACUUUCAACAACGGAUCUCUUGGUUCUGGCAUCGAUGAAGAACGCAGCGAAAUGCGAUAAGUAAUGUGAAUUGCAGAAUUCAGUGAAUCAUCGAAUCUUUGAACGCACAUUGCGCCCCUUGGUAUUCCGGGGGGCAUGCCUGUUCGAGCGUCAUUUCAACCCUCAAGCUUAGCUUGGUAUUGAGUCUAUGUCAGUAAUGGCAGGCUCUAAAAUCAGUGGCGGCGCCGCUGGGUCCUGAACGUAGUAAUAUCUCUCGUUACAGGUUCUCGGUGUGCUUCUGCCAAAACCCAAAUUUUUCUAUGGUUGACCUCGGAUCAGGUAGGGAUACCCGGGUCCCUGAACUUAAGCAUAUCAAUAAGCGGAGGAAAG